rnacentral:rRNA from 1 species
CCUACGGGAGGCAGCAGUAAGGAAUCUUCCACAAUGGACGAAAGUCUGAUGGAGCAACGCCGCGUGCAGGAUGAAGGCUUUCGGGUCGUAAACUGCUUUUAUAUGGGAAGAUUAUGACGGUACCAUAUGAAUAAGGACCGGCUAACUACGUGCCAGCAGCCGCGGUAAUACGUAGGGUCCAAGCGAUAUCCGGAAUUACUGGGCGUAAAGCGUGUGUAGGUGGAUUAAUAAGUGUGAUGCGAAAUCCGGCGGCUCAACCGUUUGGACUGUGUCGCAUACUGUUAGUCUAGAGGACGGCAGAGGUAAGUGGAAUUACGGGUGUAGCAGUGAAAUGCGUAGAUAUCCGUAGGAACACCAAUGGCGAAGGCAGCUUACUGGGCCACACCUGACACUGAGACACGAAAGCGUGGGGAGCGAACAGGAUUAGAUACCCUGGUAGUCCACGCCGUAAACGAUGCAUACUAUUAGUAUGGGGUAUCGACCCCCUGUGCUGAGAAGCUAACGCGAUAAGUAUGCCGCCUGGGAGUACGAGCGCAAGCUAAAACUCAAAUGAAUUGACGGCGNGAGACGNGCGACGACGACGACGAGGAGAGG